rnacentral:lncRNA from 1 species
AAUAGUAACAUUAUAAGAUGCCACAGUUAACAACCAGGCCACAAAAAAAGAAUGUGAGCAGUUGAAAGUCUGAACACAUAAGGGGAGUUAUCCCAUGACUUUGUUAAAGAAAAUAGCUCAGCUCACAACAGGCAGCAUAAUACUAACAAUGAAACAAAAAUGCUCUAGCAUGGCCAUAUCCAGAUGGUAUGAAGCUAAUUAAAGCACUAAUUAUCA